GGGGGAAGAAGCUGCUGGAGAGAGGAGCUGUUUUGGAAAGGAUUUGAUGGAAAAUGCAAACCCAGCAUGGAGAGGUACGAGGAAGUACAAGACCAUGAAGUUGAUUGAACUCACCUCCAUUUUCUCCGGAAGGUAAAAAGGAAGAGAACAGUUGCAUGCUUUGUCAAAAUUAGAACUAUUUUCCCGGAGCUGAGCACAAUUCGCACACGUCUUUGUGUAAUUUAUCUGUCAGAAUCGAAAAACAAUAGUUCACAUAAAGGUCAUAUGAGUCCACAUCUUAAAAUUCAAUGCCCAAGCUUCCCCCCCCCCCUUUUGAGAUGGAGCCUGCGACAGGGCUAGAGGG
rnacentral:lncRNA from 1 species